CCCCUUCAGCACCACCAACAGCUCCUCCGCCGCCGCCGCCACCGCCAUGAACGGCUUGACGGCGGCGCCGGCGCACGGAAUCAGCAGCAGCAGCAGCAGCACCUCCUCCUCCUCCUCUUCUUCCUCCUCUUCCUCUUCCUCCUCCGCCGCCGCCGCCAUCGCCAUGAAGGACCACGAUGCCAUCAAGCUCUUCGUGGGGCAGAUCCCGCGCAACCUGGAGGAGGGCGACCUCAAGCCCCUCUUCGAGGAGUUCGGCAAGAUCUACGAGCUCACCGUCCUCAAGGACCGCUUCACCGGGAUGCACAAAGGCUGUGCCUUUCUUACUUAUUGUGCCCGGGACUCAGCCCUCAAAGCCCAGAGCGCACUGCAUGAACAGAAGACGUUGCCAGGGAUGAAUCGCCCGAUCCAAGUGAAGCCAGCAGACAGCGAGGGCAGAGGAGAAGACAGGAAGCUCUUUGUGGGCAUGUUGGGGAAACAACAGAGCGAGGACGACGUCCGGCGACUCUUUGAGCCCUUCGGCCAGAUCGAAGAAUGCACCAUCCUCAGAGGCCCCGAUGGAGCCAGCAAAGGAUGUGCCUUUGUCAAAUAUGGAAGCCAUGCAGAGGCCCAAGCAGCUAUCAGUAGCCUCCACGGCAGUCAGACGAUGCCGGGAGCAUCCUCCAGCCUGGUUGUCAAGUUUGCUGACACAGACAAGGAGAGGACCCUGCGGCGAAUGCAUCAGAUGGCAGGACAGCUGGGGAUCUUUAAUCCCAUGACAAUCCAGUUCGGAGCCUAUGGAGCAUAUACGCAAGCGAUAAUGCAGCAGCAGGCAGCCCUGAUGGCUGCAGCACAAGGAACAUGUCUCAACCCUAUGGCAGCCAUUGCGGCAGCCCAGAUGCAGCAGAUGGCCGCUUUUAACGUGAGCGGGUUGGUCGCAGCUCCCAUGACACCCUCAUCAGGUACAAGCACACCUCCAGGGAUCAGCACAGCCCCCGUCCCCAGUAUAGCCACGCCAAUUGGAGUGAAUGGAUUCAGCCCUCUCCCACCCCAAACCAAUGGGCAGCCAGCAUCAGAAACAAUUUACACCAAUGGAAUCCAUCCGUACCCAGCUCAAAGUCCCACUGUGGCAGAUCCCCUCCAACAAGCCUACGCAGGCAUGCAGCACUAUGCAGCAGCAUAUCCAGCCGCCUAUGCACCAAUCAGCCAGGCCUUCCCCCAGCAAGCUCCCAUCAUCCCUCAACAGCAAAGAGAAGGUCCCGAAGGCUGUAACCUCUUCAUUUAUCACCUGCCCCAAGAGUUUGGGGAUGCAGAGCUCAUGCAGAUGUUCUUGCCUUUUGGCAACGUCAUCUCUGCCAAAGUCUUUGUUGACCGUGCCACCAACCAAAGUAAAUGCUUUGGUUUCGUCAGUUUUGACAAUCCAACUAGUGCUCAGGCAGCCAUUCAGGCCAUGAACGGCUUCCAGAUCGGCAUGAAGAGGCUAAAAGUCCAACUAAAGCGGCCAAAAGAUGCCAACAGACCCUACUGAACCCAGUUCACCCUGGCCCUGAAAACAGACCAGGCCAAUCAUAGCUCCAAGGAUGACCCCCACAGUUGCCUAACCACCCUCUAGCUGUUAUGGGAGGCCCAAACAAAAGCUCUCCCUCCCCAAUUGUCUGAAACUAUGGGAUGCCAUGCGGCGUAUGAAGAGUAUUCCCCUUGUCCCACCUGCCGUAUCCAGACUUGUAACUCUUUCUUUGCAACAUAUCAUGGAUGAGGAGAAGAUGGAGGUGGAAGAGUAGGAGAAGGAGAGAGAUACUGGUGAAACAAGAGAACCAGUUUGGUUAUAAUUCCUUUUUUUUUUCUUUUUUCUUUUCUCUUUGGAAUUUCAGAUUUUUUUUGGGGGGGGGUUGUCUCUUUAAAAGGCAAGAGAAAGCAAAGAAGGUAGCUGUGACCAUAUUGGACAAGAGGGAAAGAAACGCUGACGUUGGCCUAACACAAAACUCCAUGACACAGAAAGAGGCCGCAGAAGAAGACUUUUUUAAAAAGAAAAGAAAAAGAAAAAUCCCUCCCAGAAAGAGGGGUGGGAUUUUGCAAGAAGAAUGGUUGCAGGUGCGAAACCUGCUGGUGGGACCAGGCUCUCUCUGAAGCACUUGUCUGACGCAGAUAUUUCGGAAGAGGGAGGCCAAACAGAUCUAAACCAAAGCUGGUGGAUUUGGACCAGGCCUAUAUGUUGUUACACCUGGGUAACGCUUUUUUUGUUUUGUUUUGUUUUCAAAGGGGAAAAGACAAAAAAGAGGUGGGUGUUUGUUUGUUUUCUGCAUCUGUUUGGGAAAAGAAAAAAAAGCAGUUGCUAAAAGGAUGUUGAACUUAACAGAAGAUAUAUAUAUAAAUAGGUCUAUAUAUCUAUAUCCCAUGGAUUGGGAGGUGGGGGUUUCUCUACCCCACUUUGUCCUCAGUCCAGGGAGAUUGGAUUACCUUCUUUCAAAGUCAUAUCAUUCCUUAGAGUUUAGGGACCAAAGGACUAUUGCUUUUUUAAAAUAUAUAAAUAUAUAUAUAUAAAUGAAUUAAUUUAAAAAACAAAAACAAAAGGUUGAAAAAAAGAAACUCAAAGAAGUUUUAAAAAAAAGCAAACAAAAAAAAACAAGCUUCAUGUCAAAGCUGCGAGUUGUCUCCAGGAGAAGUGAACGCAAGUACGCAACGAGCAGAUGUCGCUUUGUGAGCAGUGUAGCAAAUGACAGUGGCCUGUUGACCGCAUUGAACGCUAUAGGGUUUAAGUAAGGGGUAAAGUUGGGGUAUUUUUAGGGGAGGGAGAGAAUAUCUUGGCAGCGGCUCUCUCCUCCUCUCUCCAAAUAGACACUUGGCUUUUCAAAAAUUGUGUUGUGAAAUAGCUGGCGGGUGGGAGGGGAGGGAGAGGUUUCUAGUUCCAUCCCUGAUCUUCUUCUCCCAUGUGCUGAAAGUAAAUAUCCACUGGUGUGAAAAGAGACACAGGGUCAUCAUGGCUCAGACAAAGCUGCUUUUUACUGAGUCCAUCCAGCUCAAGGCUUCCACCAGUGGACUUUCCAAGCCUUGUCUGGAGAUGCUAGGGCCUGUUACAGACUGCCAAAAUAAAGCUGCUUCGGGUCUCUUUGGAGAUAUGCUAUU